GACGAACGCUGGCGGCGUGCCUAAUACAUGCAAGUAGAACGCACAGUUUAUACCGUAGCUUGCUACACCAUAGACUGUGAGUUGCGAACGGGUGAGUAACGCGUAGGUAACCUGCCUGGUAGCGGGGGAUAACUAUUGGAAACGAUAGCUAAUACCGCAUAAUAUUAAUUAUUGCAUGAUAAUUAAUUGAAAGGUGCAAUUGCACCACUACCAGAUGGACCUGCGUUGUAUUAGCUAGUAGGUGAGGUAACGGCUCACCUAGGCGACGAUACAUAGCCGACCUGAGAGGGUGAUCGGCCACACUGGGACUGAGACACGGCCCAGACUCCUACGGGAGGCAGCAGUAGGGAAUCUUCGGCAAUGGACGAAAGUCUGACCGAGCAACGCCGCGUGAGUGAAGAAGGUUUUCGGAUCGUAAAGCUCCGUUGUAAGAGAAGAACGGGUGUGAGAGUGGAAAGUUCACACUGUGACGGUAUCUUACCAGAAAGGGACGGCUAACUACGUG
rnacentral:rRNA from 1 species